rnacentral:rRNA from 1 species
UACGUAGGGGGCAAGCGUUGUCCGGAUUUAUUGGGCGUAAAGAGCUCGUAGGCGGUCUGUUGCGUCGGCUGUGAAAACCCGGGGCUCAACCCCGGGCCUGCAGCCGAUACGGGCAGACUAGAGUUCGGCAGGGGAGACUGGAAUUCCUGGUGUAGCGGUGAAAUGCGCAGAUAUCAGGAGGAACACCGGUGGCGAAGGCGGGUCGCUGGGCCGAUACUGACGCUGAGGAGCGAAAGCGUGGGGAGCGAACAGG